rnacentral:rRNA from 1 species
UACGUAGGGUGCAAGCGUUAAUCGGAAUUACUGGGCGUAAAGCGUGCGCAGGCGGUCCGCUAAGUCAGAUGUGAAAUCCCCGGGCUUAACCUGGGAACUGCAUUUGUGACUGGCGGGCUAGAGUAUGGCAGAGGGGGGUAGAAUUCCACGUGUAGCAGUGAAAUGCGUAGAGAUGUGGAGGAAUACCGAUGGCGAAGGCAGCCCCCUGGGCCAAUACUGACGCUCAUGCACGAAAGCGUGGGGAGCAAACAGG